GCCUGGGUGGCUUAGUCGGUUAAGCGUCUGGCUUCAGCUCAGGUCAUGAUCUUGUGGUUUGUGAGUUUGAGCCCUGUCUCGGGCU
rfam:Felis catus isolate Cinnamon breed Abyssinian chromosome A2, whole genome shotgun sequence.